GAAAAGUUACAUAAGGGCAUGCAGUGAAUGCCUUGACAUAAGAUACCGAUGAAGGACGUGGUAAUCUGCGAUAAGCUUCGGUGAGCUGAUUUACAAGCUUUGAGCCGGAGAUUUCCGAAUGGGGAAACCCAUCUGAUUUCAUAGUCAGAUACUUUUACCUGAAUAUAUAGGGUAGAUAGAGGGAACCGGGGGAACUGAAACAUCUUAGUACCCCGAGGAAGAGAAAGUAACAACGAUUCUCCUAGUAGCGGCGAGCGAACGGGGAACAGCCAAAACCUUAUAAACUUCCGUCUAUUUAUAGACGGAUAAGUGAGUAGACGAAUGUCUAUAGGGGGUUGCGAGAUAAAACCAGUUCAUAAAUACCUCAGCUCCGAUGCACUAAUCGAGUUUCGAUUAACCGCAUGGAGUUGAGUAUUGAUGAAGAGAUCCUACUUAGGUCUCAAUGAUGACAGCUGUGUUAGUGGAAGAUCCUGGAAGGGAUCGCCAAAGAGAGUGAAAGCCUCGUACACGAAAGCGUAGUUUGUAAUUAUAGGUCUUAUCUCUAGUAGGGCGGGGCACGAGAAACCCUGUCUGAAACCGGGAGGUCCACCUUCCAAGGCUAAAUAUAUCUUAUGAUCGAUAGUGAACCAGUACCGCGAGGGAAAGGUGAAAAGAACCCCGGAAGGGGAGUGAAAUAGAAUCUGAAACUGCAUGCUUACAAGGAGUCGGAGCAGAUUUAUUCUGUGACGGCGUGCUUUUUGUAGAACGAUCCAGCGAGUUACUUUCUACGGGCAGGCUAAGUCAUUUGACGGAGCCAUAGUGAAAGCGAGGGUUAAUAGCCCGCAUAUUGUCCUAGGAAGUAGACCCGAAACUAAGUGACCUAACCAUGGGCAGGUUGAAGCGGCAGUAACAUGUCGUGGAGGACCGAACCAGAGCAAGCUGCAAAUUGCUUGGAUGACCUGUGGUUAGCGGUGAAAUGCCAAUCGAACUUAGAAAUAGCUGGUUCUCCUCGAAAUAGCUUUAGGGCUAGCGUCGUGUAGCAACUUACGGAGGUAGAGCUCUGAUUAGAACUGAGGCUCGUAAGAGUACUCACUCUUGUCAAACUACGAAUUCCGUAAGCCAAGGCACGGCAGUCAGAACACGGGGGCUAAGCUCCGUGCUCGAAAGGGAAACAGCCCAGAUCGCCAAUUAAGGUCCCUAAAUUAUUACUAAGUGGGAAACGAUGUGAAAAUGCUCAGACAGUGAGGAGGUUGGCUUAGAAGCAGCCAUUCCUUUAAAGAGUGCGUAACAGCUCACUCAUCGAGCGUUUUUGCGCGGAAAAUGUAACGGGGCUAAGUAAUAUACCGAAAUUGCGAAUUGUUAACUUUUGUUAACAGUGGUAGAGGAGCGUUGAUAUCAGCGUUGAAGUCGAACCGCGAGGUUCGGUGGAGUGGUAUCAAGUGAGAAUGCUGGAAUAAGUAACUAAAUUCAAAGUGAGAAUCUUUGACAUCGAAAGAGUAAGGUUUCCUGGGCGAUGUUCGUCAUCCCAGGGUUAGUCGGGCCUAAGCCGAGGCGAAUAGCGUAGGCGAUGGACAACGGGUUAAUAUUCCCGUACCGGUUAAGAUUUAGUAGUUAAGUGCGCGGCGUGGUAGCCGGAGCGGUCUUAUGGUUAUGACCGUCUAAGUGUCUAGUCUUCGGACGAAGCAUUAAUGAAACUGCCUUUACAGGCGGAAUUCUGGUAACCCAUGCUGACAGGAAAAGCUUAACUAUGUCAUGUCUUAGCCGACCGUACCGCAAACCAACACAGGUACUCAGGUCGAGUAGACCAAGAUGUGCGAGAGAACCCUCGUUAAGGAACUCGGCAACAAAAGCGACCGUAACUUCGGGAUAAGGUCCGCCUUUCACCGUUUACGGUGAAAGGUCGCAGCGAAAGAGUCCACGCGACUGUUUAUCAAAAACACAGGUCUCUGCUAACACGAAAGUGGAUGUAUAGGGGCUGACGCCUGCCCGGUGCUGGAAGGUUAAGGAAGUUGGUGUAUGCUGACGACUGAAGCCCCAGUGAACGGCGGCGGUAACUAUAACCGUCCUAAGGUAGCGAAAUUCCUUGUCAGGUAAGAAACUUGCCUGGUUAGUCAGUAAUGACUAAUACGUUAAAGGAAUACCAUAGGAUGUUUUGAUAAAUGAGAUAACGCGAAUCGUAGCGGAACGUACAUGGCUAUAUGCUGGAAACUCUCUCAAAUUUCGACGGGAAACCGGUCGAACUAUGGAGACAAUCAGCAGGGAAGUCCUCUCUUGUUUUAACAAGAUGACCCCUCAGAGACUACACGCCAUGCCCCACUUAACUUAGGUUAAGUGGGUGAUGAUAUAGUCCGAUCUCAACGGCGACGUUGAGGAUGCUAAAGCUGCAUCACUAAUAACACAGCGAACAUCCCAAUGUUUACAUUUGGAUGCGAACAAGGAGUAAUCCUUGAUCAAUGAAGUUCUGACCCGCACGAAUGGCGCAACGAUGUGGACGCUGUCUCAACGAGGGACUCGGUGAAAGUGCAAUGGCGGUAAAGAUGCCGUCUGUCCGCAUCAGGACGAGAAGACCCCGUGGAGCUUUACUACAGCUUGACAUUGGGUCGAGUGGCAGUUUGUGCAGGAUAGGUGAGAGACUUUGAAGCAGAUACGCUAGUAUUUGUGGAGUCACCCGUGAAAUAUCACCCCUGCUGUCAUUUGGCUCUUACUCUGACCGUUAUCCGGUCAGGGGACCGUGUCUGGUGGGUAGUUUAACUGGGGCGGUUGCCUCCUAAAUAGUAGCGGAGGCGUUCAAAGGUUGGCUUAGCUCGGAUGGAAAUCGAGUGGAAAGUGUAAGCGCACAAGCCAGCUUGACUGUGAGUCAUACAUGACAAACAGGUACGAAAGUAGGAGCUAGUUGUCCGCUGUCCGAACAUUUAUGUUCAAGGUAGUGGUACCGGCAGCGCUAACGGAUAAAAGUUACCCCGGGGAUAACAGGCUUAUAGCGCCCAAUAGUUCACAUAGACGGCGCUGUUUGGCACCUCGAUGUCGGCUCAUCACAUCCUGGGGGAGAAGCAUCUCCCAAGGGUUCGGCUGUUCGCCGAUUAAAGUGGUACGCGAGCUGGGUUCAGAACGUCGUGAGACAGUUCGGUUUAUAUCCGAUGCGGACGAGUUGGAAAUUUGAGUGAAGUUGCCCCUAGUACGAGAGGACCGGGGUGAACGAACCGCUGGUGUACCAGUUGUCAUACCAAUGGCAUCGCUGGGUAGCUAAGUUCGGAGUGGAUAAGUGCUGAAAGCAUCUCAAGCACGAAGCCCUGCACAAGAUUAGAUUUCCCCAUGAGACCCCAGAAAGACUAUCUGGUUGAUAGGUGCACGGUGUAAGCGCAGUAAUGCGUUGAGCCUAAGCAUACUAACGGUCCAUUGAACUUUUCGU
rnacentral:rRNA from 1 species